rnacentral:rRNA from 1 species
CGCUAAAGUGUGGCCUCUUCUAUGCUGCCGGGUUGGGAUCGGCCCGCGUCCCAUUAGCUAGUUGGUGAGGUAACGGCUCACCAAGGCCACGAUGGGUAGCCGGCCUGAGAGGGUGUACGGCCACACUGGCACUGAGACAAGGGCCAGUCCCCUAUGGGAGGCGCAGGCGGGAAUAGUUCACAAUGGGCGAAAGCCUGAUGACGCGACGCCGCGUGAGCGAAGAAGACCUUCGGGUUGUAAAGCUCUGUCAGGAGGGAAGAAGGCUCUACGGGUCAAUAGCCCGUGGGAUUGACGGUACCUCCAGAGGAAGCCCCGGCUAAAUACGUGCCAGCAGCCGCGGUAAUACGUAUGGGGCAAGCGUUGUCCGGAUUUACUGGGCGUAAAGGGCGCGUAGGCGGUUUGUUAAGUCGAAGGUGAAAUCCUCGGGCUCAACUCGAGAAUUGCCUUCGAUACUGGCAAACUAGAGUGGCGGAGAGGAAAGCGGAACUCUUGGUGUAACGGUGGAAUGUGUAGAUAUCAAGAGGAACACCGGUGGCGAAGGCGGCUUUCUGGACGCACACUGACGCUCAGGCGCGAAAGCGUGGGUAGCAAACAGGAUUAGAUACCCUGGUAGUCCACGCCAUAAACGAUGGGUACUAGGUGUCGAGGGUAUCGACCCCUCCGGUGCCGCAGUUAACGCACUAAGUACCCCGCCUGGGGAUUAUGGUCGCAAGGCUGAAACUCAAAGGAAUUGACGGGGCCCCGCACAAGCGGUGGAGCAUGUGGUUUAAUUCGACGCAACGCGAAGAACCUUACCUGGGCUUGACAUGCUUGGGACAGCGCUGGAAACAGCGUCUCUCCUUCGGGAGCCCUUGCACAGGUGCUGCAUGGCUGUCGUCAGCUCGUGUCGUGAGAUGUUGGGUUAAGUCCCGCAACGAGCGCAACCCUCGUUACUAGUUGCCAUCAGUUCGGCUGGGCACUCUAGUGAGACUGCCGGUGAUAAACCGGAGGAAGGUGAGGAUGAUGUCAAGUCAUCAUGGCCCUUACGCCCAGGGCUACACACGUGCUACAAUGGUCGGCACAAAGGGUCGCUAAGCCGCGAGGUGGAGCUAAUCCCAAAAAGCCGGCCUCAGU